rnacentral:rRNA from 1 species
GGAAUAUUGGACAAUGGGCGCAAGCCUGAUCCAGCCAUGCCGCGUGAAGGAUGAAGGCGCUCAGCGUUGUAAACUUCUUUUGGACGGGAACAAUACCCCUGAUGCGUCAGGGCUUGAGGGUACCGUCAGAAUAAGCACCGGCUAACUCCGUGCCAGCAGCCGCGGUAAUACGGAGGGUGCAAGCGUUAUCCGGAAUCACUGGGUUUAAAGGGUGCGUAGGCGGUCUUGUAAGUCAGUCGUGAAAUCGCUGGGCUCAACCCAUGCAAUUGCGAUUGAUACUGCGAGACUUGAAUUGGGUUAAGGCAGGCGGAAUGUGGCAUGUAGCGGUGAAAUGCAUAGAUAUGCCAUAGAACACCGAUUGCGAAGGCAGCCUGCUGGGCCUUUAUUGACGCUGAGGCACGAAAGCGUGGGGAGCAA